rnacentral:rRNA from 1 species
GAAUGCGAUCAUACCAGCACUAAAGCACCGGAUCCCAUCACAACUCCGAAGUUAAGCGUGCUUGGGCGAGAGUAGUACUAGGAUGGGUGACCUCUUGGGAAGUCCUUGUGUUGCAUUCC